rnacentral:rRNA from 1 species
GUCGUCAGCUCGUGUCGUGAGAUGUUGGGUUAAGUCCCGCAACGAGCGCAACCCUUAUUACUAGUUGCCAGCAUUUAGUUGGGCACUCUAGUGAGACUGCCGGUGACAAACCGGAGGAAGGUGGGGACGACGUCAAAUCAUCAUGCCCCUUAUGACCUGGGCUACACACGUGCUACAAUGGAUGGUACAACGAGUUGCGAGACCGCGAGGUUUAGCUAAUCUCUUAAAACCAUUCUCAGUUCGGAUUGUAGGCUGCAACUCGCCUACAUGAAGCCGGAAUCGCUAGUAAUCGCGGAUCAGCAUGCCGCGGUGAAUACGUUCCCGGGA